AUCACUAAAUAAAAUGUGGUUAACGGAUUUCUUGACUUGAAGUUUCAAUUCCCCUCCCACAAAAGGGGAAGCCUGUUUACAGUGAUAACUGCGGACAACGAGAUACAUUUUGAAAAAGUUGGACAAAGUUUCUUUGAAAUGUGUCACAAGAUUGUUCUCCGACUCUGCUUCUCAGUGCUUUUCUUAAGAGCUGGGGAACGACAAGGAGGUGGUGCCUGGAGAGGAGGAGGCGGGGCUACGCAGGAAGGAGGGGCUGGGAAAUGGAGCGCCUUCACUUUCGGAACCAGAGAGCUGAUGGAAGGAGCGGUUCGCUUCGGAGGCAGAGAAACCGGAAGAGGACGGAGGAGCCCGGCGGGGGAGGGAAGGAAGGAAG